CAUCCUCCAAGGCUAAAUACUCCUGACUGACCGAUAGUGAACCAGUACCGUGAGGGAAAGGCGAAAAGAACCCCGGCGAGGGGAGUGAAAAAGAACCUGAAACCGUGUACGUACAAGCAGUGGGAGCACGCUUAGGCGUGUGACUGCGUACCUUUUGUAUAAUGGGUCAGCGACUUAUAUUCUGUAGCAAGGUUAACCGAAUAGGGGAGCCGAAGGGAAACCGAGUCUUAACUGGGCGUUAAGUUGCAGGGUAUAGACCCGAAACCCGGUGAUCUAGCCAUGGGCAGGUUGAAGGUUGGGUAACACUAACUGGAGGACCGAACCGACUAAUGUUGAAAAAUUAGCGGAUGACUUGUGGCUGGGGGUGAAAGGCCAAUCAAACCGGGAGAUAGCUGGUUCUCCCCGAAAGCUAUUUAGGUAGCGCCUCGUGAAUUCAUCUCCGGGGGUAGAGCACUGUUUCGGCAAGGGGGUCAUCCCGACUUACCAACCCGAUGCAAACUGCGAAUACCGGAGAAUGUUAUCACGGGAGACACACGGCGGGUGCUAACGUCCGUCGUGAAGAGGGAAACAACCCAGACCGCCAGCUAAGGUCCCAAAGUCAUGGUUAAGUGGGAAACGAUGUGGGAAGGCCCAGACAGCCAGGAUGUUGGCUUAGAAGCAGCCAUCAUUUAAAGAAAGCGUAAUAGCUCACUGGUCGAGUCGGCCUGCGCGGAAGAUGUAACGGGGCUAAACCAUGCACCGAAGCUGCGGCAGCGACGCUUAUGCGUUGUUGGGUAGGGGAGCGUUCUGUAAGCCUGCGAAGGUGUGCUGUGAGGCAUGCUGGAGGUAUCAGAAGUGCGAAUGCUGACAUAAGUAACGAUAAAGCGGGUGAAAAGCCCGCUCGCCGGAAGACCAAGGGUUCCUGUCCAACGUUAAUCGGGGCAGGGUGAGUCGACCCCUAAGGCGAGGCCGAAAGGCGUAGUCGAUGGGAAACAGGUUAAUAUUCCUGUACUUGGUGUUACUGCGAAGGGGGGACGGAGAAGGCUAUGUUGGCCGGGCGACGGUUGUCCCGGUUUAAGCGUGUAGGCUGGUUUUCCAGGCAAAUCCGGAAAAUCAAGGCUGAGGCGUGAUGACGAGGCACUACGGUGCUGAAGCAACAAAUGCCCUGCUUCCAGGAAAAGCCUCUAAGCAUCAGGUAACAUCAAAUCGUACCCCAAACCGACACAGGUGGUCAGGUAGAGAAUACCAAGGCGCUUGAGAGAACUCGGGUGAAGGAACUAGGCAAAAUGGUGCCGUAACUUCGGGAGAAGGCACGCUGAUAUGUAGGUGAAGUCCCUUGCGGAUGGAGCUGAAAUCAGUCGAAGAUACCAGCUGGCUGCAACUGUUUAUUAAAAACACAGCACUGUGCAAACACGAAAGUGGACGUAUACGGUGUGACGCCUGCCCGGUGCCGGAAGGUUAAUUGAUGGGGUCAGCGCAAGCGAAGCUCUUGAUCGAAGCCCCGGUAAACGGCGGCCGUAACUAUAACGGUCCUAAGGUAGCGAAAUUCCUUGUCGGGUAAGUUCCGACCUGCACGAAUGGCGUAAUGAUGGCCAGGCUGUCUCCACCCGAGACUCAGUGAAAUUGAACUCGCUGUGAAGAUGCAGUGUACCCGCGGCAAGACGGAAAGACCCCGUGAACCUUUACUAUAGCUUGACACUGAACAUUGAGCCUUGAUGUGUAGGAUAGGUGGGAGGCUUUGAAGUGUGGACGCCAGUCUGCAUGGAGCCGGCCUUGAAAUACCACCCUUUAAUGUUUGAUGUUCUAACGUGGACCCGUGAUCCGGGUUGCGGACAGUGUCUGGUGGGUAGUUUGACUGGGGCGGUCUCCUCCUAAAGAGUAACGGAGGAGCACGAAGGUUGGCUAAUCCUGGUCGGACAUCAGGAGGUUAGUGCAAUGGCAUAAGCCAGCUUGACUGCGAGCGUGACGGCGCGAGCAGGUGCGAAAGCAGGUCAUAGUGAUCCGGUGGUUCUGAAUGGAAGGGCCAUCGCUCAACGGAUAAAAGGUACUCCGGGGAUAACAGGCUGAUACCGCCCAAGAGUUCAUAUCGACGGCGGUGUUUGGCACCUCGAUGUCGGCUCAUCACAUCCUGGGGCUGAAGUAGGUCCCAAGGGUAUGGCUGUUCGCCAUUUAAAGUGGUACGCGAGCUGGGUUUAGAACGUCGUGAGACAGUUCGGUCCCUAUCUGCCGUGGGCGCUGGAGAACUGAGGGGGGCUGCUCCUAGUACGAGAGGACCGGAGUGGACGCAUCACUGGUGUUCGGGUUGUCAUGCCAAUGGCACUGCCCGGUAGCUAAAUGCGGAAGAGAUAAGUGCUGAAAGCAUCUAAGCACGAAACUUGCCCCGAGAUGAGUUCU
rnacentral:rRNA from 2 species